AGCCUUAUUAAAAUCCUUGUAUUAAUCAAUUCUGGGUGUGGUCAUGCAAAUUACUGAAAAUGAUUCUGAGGAGGAAACAUAGACCUUAAGUCACUAGCAAACACCUGCAUGUGGUAUAUGUAUCUGCAAGAACCUAGCUGUGAUAGCGUUAGCUUUGUGGCAUAAAAUGAUUUUUAAACUAUUCAAACUCCUAACAGCAAUGAUUUUCAUAGGAUUUGUUUUAGGUAAUAAUGUGAUCCUACAAGACCAAGAAAGAACUGUGGAUAAUGGAAAAGAUAUAACUCUGGGCUGCUCUUACCUCUCUAAGAAAUAUGUGCUCCUCUGGUAUGUACAGAAGCCCAGCGGCACUCUGCAACUCAUUCUCAAUGAUGAAUCCAAAGAUGAUCUUAAUGAAGAAUUUAAGGAUCGAUUUUCAGCUAAGCAUGAUGCAGAUGAGAAAUCCUUUAACCUGACUAUUAGAAAAAGUCUAUGGUCAGACUCAGGGAUGUAUUAUUGUACUCUGGAGCAUAGCACCAUAUGACAUACUAACUUCUUAGCAGUACAGGAACCUGCACAGGUGUUAUUGUGACCACUACAACUGCUUAGAGACAUUAUCUAUAAAAUACGCAAUGCUUCAUCGACAGUGCUUUCUGUCUUGCAUUCCCUCUUAAGUUUAAUAGAAGCAAAUUAAAUGAAAGGAAUUUUCUAGAGAUAGCUUCUAGCUUAU